CGCACUGCUCACAGCCUAGCGUUGAUCCCGCCGCCAUACAGAAGGCACGUGGCGCCUUUAUGUGCAGUUUUGUAGCUGUGGUUGUAGUUUUGCCGCUGUGUACGUUGGCGUUGUAACAGGUGUUCUGUGGUGCCGUUCGGUGGUGUGCGAAGAGCUCUCCUGCAAAGAUCUGCUGCAACAGUUUCCCCAAGGAAGCACAACAAAUGUUGAAGAUGCCAUCAAAUCAUGGCUCAGACAUGCACCGGAAAGGGCAUCAGGCACCCUCAAACACAAGAAGCCUGCAACGUCUGUUGAGGACUCAAAUGAAGAUGCUGAAUGAGUACCCUCCUUGCCCGCUGCACUCCAAUCCCAUGCCAGUGCCAUGGCAUUCGUGUGCCCAAUUACAGCAGCUACCAAGUAGCUAAAUAGUACCUUCACAGCAGCAUUGUUACUUUUUCUCUUCUUAUUUUAGCAUAUGUGUUAAGCAAUGUGUGUGAUCAAUGCUCACUAUCCAGGAAGCAUGUUCACGUUCGGUAUGAGAUUAACUUGUGUGGGCUUUCCA
rnacentral:lncRNA from 1 species